rnacentral:rRNA from 1 species
ACUCAAAGGAAUUGACGGGGGCCCGCACAAGCGGUGGAGCAUGUGGUUUAAUUCGACGCGACGCGCAGAACCUUACCUGGGCUAGAAAACACAGGAACCCGGGUGAAAACUCGGGGUGCUCUUCGGAGAAUCUGUGGUUAGGUGUUGCAUGGCUGUCGUCAGCUCGUGUCGUGAGAUGUUGGGUUAAGUCCCGCAACGAGCGCAACCCUUGUCGUUAGUUGCUACCAUUCAGUUGAGCACUCUAACGAGACUGCCGACCUUCAAGUCGGAGGAAGGUGGGGAUGACGUCAAGUCCUCAUGGCCCCUAUGUCCAGGGCUACACACGUGCUACAAUGGUCGGUACAAAGGGCUGCGAAACCGCGAGGUGGAGCCAAUCCCAAAAAACCGGCCUCAGUACGGAUUGGAGUCUGCAACUCGACUCCAUGAAGGCGGAAUCGCUAGUAAUCCCUGAUCAGCAUGGCAGGGGUGAAUACGUUCCCGGGCCUUGUACACACCGCCCGU